CCUGCAGCUGCAUUUUCCCUAUGUGACCCGCUAGCACAGGGAGAUGUACCUGUAGGAG
ensembl:miRNA gga-mir-7456 gga-mir-7456